GUCCGCACGGCAGGGGGUCGUGCUCGCGCUCACGGUGGUGAUGCCGCUGAUGGAGCUGUUUGGUAGCCGGCCAGUUAGCCACCGGAGCCCCGCAUAAACUGUCACAUUUGCGGUGUUUGUCCCCGACGUUAGCCGGUAAUGUGUAGCGGCUUGACGGAUCCCGAGAUGCGGCGGUAGUCGGUGUUUGCGCGCAGAGAGCCGCGGGACCCGCAGAGUAGCAGCGGACAGCGGCCAGGGAUGCUAACCAGCGGCGGUUAGUUAACGUUAGCUCGCUAACAUUUAUUUUAACGGAUAACCACUUCAGUCGUCAUGUUAGCUCCGUCCUCCGGUGUGGAUGCUGUUGUUCGCCGCUGCAUUACUUCCCCCCUCGGGGCAGAAACAACCGACGGUUAGCGCCUCCACCAGCCCCACAACAUGACUCACACUCAGUGAGCUAGCGGGGCUGGUUGGCUGAGUUAGCCUGCCUGUUAGCGGCUAACUGAUGCUAGCAGCAGUGUCAGUCCACGCCGCGAGCUGCUGAAGUGAUGUCUGUCCGAUGGAGCUGAAGUGUUGCUCGGCUUGCCAAAGAUGACGGGCCGCCUGAGCCGGGUUUUUGUUCCUCUGUCAGCAGGAGGCGGAACAUGGAAGCCGAGGAAGAGUGGAACAAAGACCUGAGUGCACACAAACUGCUGGAUAAAAAGGUGCUCUGCAAGCAGAAUGGGAGGAUCGGUAUAGUGAGAACUCUUCACAGCCUGUUGAAAACCCAGAACACUCUACAGAUUCAGUCCAUCACCCGCUCAGAAUGUGCAGGCUCCUGUCCAAAUCUGAUGAUGAGUAGGAGCGAGCACGUCGAUGUGAGGCCCGUCCCCGUGGCCCUCACCCCCCAGCUCCCCCCCAGAGCUCACCGGCCCCUCUGCAUGUCGAUCUCCUCCGACAGCAGUGGACGCUUCAAAGCUCUGGAGACGCAGGAGUGGAAGAACAACCUCAAAGCUCAGAUGGAGCAGGCCCACAGCGCAGGAGCUGCCAGCAGCACAGGAUCUCUGGAGCGAGCGUCUCUGUUCUGCGCCUCAGCUUCCACCACAGCAUCCAGCUCCGGCCUGUCCAGCCCAGUGGAGAUACUCAACAAGAGCAAAUCCUCCAGCCGCUUCUCUCUCUUCUCUCCUCCCUGGAACAGCAGCUCUGAGUCCGACUCCAACCCUCCGUCCCGCUCCGGCUCCAAGAAGCUCCGCAACUACAGCAGGAGAGCCGCCACGGGGCCGGCCGGCGCCAGGGGCCCGGAUACACCUGAGCCCAAACCCAGCGGCCCUGAACACUUCCAGUACUCUGAACCUGUUAUCUCCAAGGUGACGGACUACAUCUAUGUUGGCAACCUCAAUGCGGCAUACAACGGGCGCACCCUGUGCCGCAACAACAUUGACAGCAUCAUAGACAUGAGCAGUGUGCCAGGAGAACCGGGCCCCAGCCUCAACCUCAUUCCAUGCACCUGCUCCCGCGGCGCCCGCCACAGCUGGUCCCGCCUCAAGGUGGACAUCGGAGACGUGCCGGACGCUCUAGGUGACGGCCCGGCCUUGAAGCAGCGCUGCUUCGAGGACAUCAACGAGUGCAUCGAUGCCUCCACAGAGAAGAGGAAGCGCGUCCUGGUCCAUUGUCGAGACGGUUUCUCUCUGGCGCCGACGUGCAUCAUCCAAUACCUGAUGGUAAAACAGAACAUGAGGCUGAUCGCCGCCUACGAGCUACUGAGAGCCAAGUACCCGGUCAACAUCAGGGAGUGCCACCAAAAUGUGCUGGUGAGCCUGGAGAGGGCGCUGCGGCCUGGAGGCAACGUCGACCCCGAGUGCUUCAAACAGGCCAUCUCUCGCAAAGUGGCGUGGACCUGACUCUCAACGUGCUCGGCUGCUGUCCAAGACUCUCUUUAUUUCUCCACCUUCCCAUGGUAUUAGAUAUUUUCCUACAGACGACCCAGGGCAGCUGUACUUUCCCCUGUAGACUGGUCAACUGGAUAUUAUUGUCCCCACUUGAGUUCAGUGGUUGUAAAAGUUAUGAAUUUGAUGUAUUUCCUCUUCAAACCUGUAAAUGUGACCCGGCUGUGACCCCCCCACCCCCCCCACCCCCCAGAACAGGAGACGCAAUAGACUUCACUGUAAUAUACACAGCUUCUUGGUAUAACUAUGUAAUAGUGUUGGCCGUAUAGUUGAUAUAGUCCUGCUUCAGUUCUGUGCCAUGCCGUCGUGGUGGUGUUUUAUAUCAGGGGAAUUUCUUAAUGGGAGAUCUCAGGAGAUUAUUGAUGUCAUUCCAGUACAGGGUGGGAAAUUACUCAUUAGAUUAGUCUGCAACUCCGUUCACACCUGGCACGAAAAUGCAUCUUGGUAAGGUGUAUGUGAAGUACAGACAGGGAUGCAGGAGAGAAACGUAACUCCAAACCACAGAUAAUCAGUUGGAAGGUAGAAAAGUACUGAGAGCUGAAAACACAGAGACUUUUAAAAACACCUUUCUGUCCCGUCUCCUGCAACGACAGACAUGAGCUGAGUCUUGCAACACACGCUUGUUUCAGGGAGAGAAGGGGGAUUGUCUGCGGUCAGUGAAACACCACUGCUAUCCACCUGGAGGCAGUCAGGUGUGCUUUGGGCCCUCCUCUAUUGAUGGUCCAUCUCAGGCCCGGCUUGGCAUGUUAAAACCGACUGAUAGGCGCUACAGUGAAAGCUUUGGCUCACUAGGAAGUCAAUGGAGCAGCUGUAGAGCUCCGUGGCCGGCUCCUGUCUGAAGUAGAACCCGGCAGCUCUGUUGAGCGCCGCUGGCCUCAGAGCUCCUUUACAGAGCCAGGGUUGUGUAUGAACCCACGCACACAUUGAACAAACAGCUAGCGUACCAUAAGAAGAUAAUCACUGAAUAUGACAAAUAGUGUGUUGUAUUGGAUUAGAAUCGCUGACUCCACCUUUAAGAAAACUGCUCAUCACUAUCAUACAGGGUGUUCGUCCUGUUGCCCAACACUAAUAACUUAAGUUGAGAUGCUUAAUAAUUUGUACAGGGACUUUUAAAGGAACCCUGUGGACUUUUCUUUAAAUGCAGAUGUGACAGUGUCGCCAUGCGCAAACAAAACAGGGACCUGUUCAUCAAUACAUUGCUCAAUAACACUACUAGUAGUCAAAAACACCACAGAGUACCUUUUAAGUUUGUACUUUAUAUACAUAUGAAGUAUUGCUUAAGUGAGUUAUCAAAUUGCCUAACCUUCCUCUCUGGCUUUAUUGCUGCUUAGUCUGAAUUCUGUUUUAAAUGGUUUUACUAACCUCACAGAUUAAUUGAAAUGAAAAUGAAACACAAGCCGUCACCAGAGAUGCAUUUUAGACAUAUUUCGGAUGCCAGGUGUGAACUGCAUCAGUUUCAUACAGAUUUUGACACAAUCUGACAACGGAGCAAGUAACUGGCCACCAUUUAUUUUGUUUUUUCUUCCUAGAAAUCUUCUUUGCUGGUAAAAUGGUUGUUUGGAUGUACUAGCCGUUGUAGUCGAUUGGUUUAAAAAAGUUGUUUUCCUGUUAAAGCUGCAACUCUGCUGCUGAUACUCUGAAGAUUGGAGGACAUACAUAUGAUUUGUCUCCACUGGAUCUAUCACCACUGACUGGAUUACAUGACUGAUUAAUCUGCUUCUAUCGCAAGAGGGAACUUUGCACAUGGACACACGUUUAAAAUCUGACCUGCUUCUAUUCUUUGACCUUUUCACACCAUUCUUUUUCUUUUGUGUGUGUGUGUCUGUGUCUGUGUCUGUGUCUGUGUGUGUGUGUGUGUCUGUGUCUGUGUCUGUGUCUGUGUCUGUGUGUGUGUGUGUGUGUGUGUGUGUGUGUGUGUGUUUUCCGAGGUCAUACUUGAUGGAAGGUGAACGGCCCAACCUGUCCUCUGUGAGGAAGACUGUAGCCCCAUUUUCAGCCACAGUUUGUUUGGUUUAUUCUCUACGGUGGUGCUCAGACUGUGGCUUUGUGAAUUUGAACUUCAGUGUAUGCAGUGAAGCUGGGUGAUGUGCAUCUCUGUGGUUUAUCAGUAUUAUCGUAUCGGUGCCACUGAACUGCGAUCCAGGGUUUACACUGCAAGGGAUGAUUUUGCACUACUCACAGGGUUGUCCAAAAUGCAAAUUAUUGCCUUUUUAUUUUAAUAUUGUUUGAAUUAUUAUUUUGGGAGUAUAGCUGAUGACAUUUCACAUAGGAGGGAGAUGUUUACAUGCUCAUAAGAAUAACUGGAUUAAGGUAACAGUUUAAUUAAAGUGUUCAUGGUUCACACUAUCUAAUAUCCCUGAUCACCCAAGUUUACUUUCUUUUCCAUUUGUUGUCCUGCCACUGAAACAAUACAAGUUUCAGUCUGAUCAUUAUCUUUUUUUACUAUCUUCUACUUUUUUUAAUACAGAAAUGUUUUUGCACAACUACUGUUUGGUCACACGUUAUCCAUACCACAACUUCACCAUAGAAAAUAUGUUAUGGUAUUUGAUUAAGUCAGUCAGAAUAGCCAGUACUAACUGUGGUUAAGAUUAUUGAUUAUUUUCUUCAUGAAUUGAUCAAUGGUUUAGUCUAGAAAAUGAUGAAACAGUGAAAAAUGACCUACCCAGUUUCAUGAGACAUCUUCAAAAGUCCUAAAACCCGAAAUAUUCAUAUUACAGUGAUACAAAGAAUAAAAUCAGCAAAUCCUCACAUUAGAGAGGGUUUAUUUCUGCUUUUAAAUAACUUAAAAGAUUGAUUAUGAAAAAUGUUAGUUUUUUGUUUAUCAACUAAUUAGUGAAUCAACUAAUAGUUUCAGCAUUAGUGCCAACAUUCGGUAAAUGGCAGGUUUUCAUACUUAGUGCUACAUACAGUUCGGUAAGUACUUUGAAAACCAGAGGAUUAAUAUUAACAUGAUCAUCUGAAAACAGUUGGUUGAAGAUGUGAGGUGAGUUGAGACAAAGGUCAACAUGAUUCUAGAUAUAAAGAUCAUAGUGUUCCCACUCUCUUUCCCCAUAGUUAGAGGGUAAACCCCUUUUUAAAUGAGAAUUUGUUGCAGAGUCUGAAGGAUACUGUUUGUAUGGCAGUGAGUGAACAGACAGGGAUAAUGACAGAUACUAAAAAGGUGUGUUUUUGAACUUUUGGAAAGUCGCUAAUAGCUGCCAGACAGACAGAUUAGCUCCAUGAGCCUGUGCUCUGAUUUAAGAGAGGUUGUAGGAGAGCUUGAUUUUAUGCACCACACUCCUUUCAAAUGCUAUUAUGGCUUCAUUAUGCACAUAUAAUUGCAUAGAGGUGAUGAUUAGAAAUGCAAUUUUAAUAUUUUGGAACGUGCAGCCCUGAAAAGCCUGAAACUUUGUCCAACUUCUGCUGUUUUUUUAGAUGGGGGGCCAACAAAAUCCAAAUGUGAAGCAAUCAGAUGUUUCAGGUCAGCCAUUUUACAUGCAACGUUUAGCUACAGGUUAGGGUUAGCCAAUGUUUUGGUUUAGUAGAUAAAAGUUUGGUUCUGGUUAGCUAACGCAGUAACUGAGUAGCUGAAAGUGUGUUUCUGUCUAGCUAAUGGUUUAAUUAAGCAAUUGAAAGUUUGGUUCUGUUGAGCUAACGGUCCAAUUGAGCAGCUGAAUUUUUUUUUAGCUAACGGGUUAAUUAAGCUGCUAAAAGUGUGGUUCUUUCUAGAUAAUGGUAUAGUUAAGCAGCUGUGAGUUUGGUUCUGGUCAUCUUACGGUUUAAUUAAGCAGAUAACAAGCAGCUCAAAGCAAGUUCAGGUCCAGAAAGAGCUAAAAGUUCAAUCAAGUAGCUAAAGGUUUGGUUCUGUCUGGCUAAUGUGUAAUUAAGCAGCUAAAAGUAUGGUUCUGGCUAGCUAACGGUUUAAUUAAGCAGCUAAAAGUAUGGUUCUGGCUAGCUAACGGUUUAGUCAAAUAGCUACAAGUGUGGUUCUGUUUAGGUAACAUUUUAAUUGAGCGGCCAAAAGUUUGUUUCUGGCUAGCUAACGGUUUAAUUAAGCAGCUGAAAGUUUGGUUCUGCUUAGCUAACGGUUUAAUUAAGCAGCUAAAAGUUUGGUUCUGUUUAGCUAACGGUUUAAUUAAACAGCCAAAUUUUGGUUCUAGUUAGCUAACUCUACAAUAAUGCAACUACAGAUCAGGUUUGGGUUAGUCAGCUAACAUUUUUUGUCCUGUUUAUUCAAUCAAAACCGCCUCCCUCGUACAAAGAAUUGUCAUGAUCGGAAUGUUGGAGCCGAUCAUCUUAGCUAAAGGUAUUUUUUAGUGUAAAACUUGAACAAGAUAUAUAUUAGCCCACUGUUGGAUUUUUGUCUUGAACCAUUUUAGUUCAGUACAUUUCACUAUGGAUCAACUUUGUAUCAGAACAUUAAUAAUGUAAGACAAAACCUUCCAACUAUACAAACACUGAAACUAUGUCGUGAAAGGAUAAACGGCAUUACUACAGGGUUUUUUAAAUUUUCUUCUUUCCAUUUUUAUUUUUUUUUUGUCUUUCAGUUCAUGGGCAGCCUUGGUGAGAAUCAGUUGUACAGGACGUUUCAAACAUUGGUGACACAAACCCUGCGCAGCACAGUGAAGUUGUCAUGUGAGCGGUUUGGUUGGAGUGGAAGCUAAGAGUAUGGUGCCUUCAUUUGGAGUCGUCUUGUGACCGUAUGGUGACAUUUGCACACUUUGUAUGACUUUAACUUCUCUCAAUAUGUAAAAUGUAAAAUGUUGAAUAUUUUUUUGAUGUUUUAUUUUGAGGAAAAAAAAGUACAUGACAUUUGUGUGAUGUGGUCUUUGCUGUAAUAUAUUUGCUAGUCAUACAGUACCGGUGUUUUACUAAUGCAGGUGGUGAUGAGACCCAAAAUUGAUGUGUUUCUCCACAUGUUCAUACGGGACAGUGCAGUAGACAGCCAGUGUGAGCAUGUCUUUGGUUUAUCCAUGCUCUAACUCAAAGUUAUCAUAUCAAACUGAAUAGGUUAUCUAACUCGUUCUCUCAGGUGAUUUCUCAGUGGCCCAGAAUGUUCUCAAUGAAUAUGAUAUUCAGAAAUGUGAAGCGAUGUAUUUCUCAUGUCAUGUUUCUUAAGUCAGAUAUAAUUUGUACUGUUGAAUUAUUAAAGAAGAGGAUG